ACGGCUACAUAGAGAAAUCCUGUACCCAGAAAUCGAACGGGGGUGGGUGUGUGUGUAGGUGUGUGUGUGUGUAUGUAUGUAUAUACACACACACACCUACACACAGCUUUUUUGGAAUUU
ensembl:miRNA Mir467f microRNA 467f